rnacentral:rRNA from 1 species
UACGUAGGGUGCGAGCGUUAAUCGGAAUUACUGGGCGUAAAGCGUGCGCAGGCGGUUAUGUAAGACAGUUGUGAAAUCCCCGGGCUCAACCUGGGAAUUGCAUCUGUGACUGCAUAGCUAGAGUACGGGAGAGGGGGAUGGAAUUCCGCGUGUAGCAGUGAAAUGCGUAGAUAUGCGGAGGAACACCGAUGGCGAAGGCAAUCCCCUGGACCUGUACUGACGCUCAUGCACGAAAGCGUGGGGAGCAAACAGG